UGGGGAAUAUUGGACAAUGGGCGAAAGCCUGAUCCAGCCAUGCCGCAUGAGUGAAGAAGGCCUUUGGGUUGUAAAGCUCUUUUAGUGAGGAAGAUAAUGACGGUACUCACAGAAGAAGUCCUGGCUAACUCCGUGCCAGCAGUCGCGGUAAUACGGAGAGGGCUAGCGUUAUUCGGAAUUAUUGGGCGUAAAGGGCGCGUAGGCUGGUUAAUAAGUUAAAAGUGAAAUCCCGAGGCUUAACCUUGGAAUUGCUUUUAAAACUAUUAAUCUAGAGAUUGAAAGAGGAUAGAGGAAUUCCUGAUGUAGAGGUAAAAUUCGUAAAUAUUAGGAGGAACACCAGUGGCGAAGGCGUCUAUCUGGUUCAAAUCUGACGCUGAAGCGCGAAGGCGUGGGGAGCAAACA
rnacentral:rRNA from 1 species